rnacentral:lncRNA from 1 species
GGACACAAGCACACGGCACACUUAAUGCAGCACAUGCCUGGUCUAUCAGGAACAGAGGGCACAGAACUCUUUAACGUACAAGGCAGCAGGGGCAUGGACUGGCCAAGAGAGAAGUGGCCACAUGUGAAGGUCGCUUCACCAACUGUGCUACUUAUUUGUCAGUGAUGAGGAGAACUGACCAUCAACAGAUGUAACAACCAAACUCCUCGGCCAGCCUCAUGGCCGGGGAGCAGACCUCAGAGACAGGCCCCUCCCCAUUUCCCUGUGGGCAUGAAAAGUAACCUAAAUCUCAGGCACUACCUACCCAGAGAUUCCACUGUUCAGUCUAGGAACACAGGCUCAGCUGUGAAAAGACAGCACACAAGGCACCAGAGGAGCAGAUGGUAAAUCAAAACACCUCAGAGUCCAAGGUCUGGAACAGAGACAGUGAAAAACAAAGCCAAGUUGAGCCUCUUUGGAGGAGGCCAGGUAGAAACUCCCCACCUCCUCCUCUACUACCACUGCAGUUCUUUUACAACUCUCACUGCCAUAUGGACUU